AGUUGCCUGAGGACAGCAGUGCAGUUGACAUGGAUAUUCUCUUUCCUCUGCACAGUGUUAUUGGGAGCCGUCCUCAGUGCCUCCCAGAGAGGACAGCGAGAAUGUAAGGAGCCCUCAGCCCACACCCAGCAGAGAAUGCUUCUAUUUUUCCUGCUCUCUUUUCCACUUUUCCACAUCAACCAGAGGCGCUCCUGUGAUGGGAACUCUCAUCAUCCCUCUAGGGACAGCAGGGCAGGCAGGGGUUGGAGUGGGCAUAGGAUUUCCAUCCCAAGCUCCCAGACCAUCUGUGGAGGUGCACAGGAGGCGUCAGAGCAAAACCAAACCCCAGGACUCAGCGGCGAGGACCCGAUCAUGAGAGGGGUGAGGUCUCUGUGGAAGGACAGGCCCUGAGGCCGGGCUCAUCAGCCGCCUUCCUGGGGAGGCGCCUCGGGGCCCAGCGUCUGUGUGGGCUCAGGGGGCUGUGCUGAGCCCCUGAGAGCCUCCCACCUGAGACUGGAGUCGCCUCUGGCCUCCUCAGAAGCAGAAUCCUCCCUGCCAGCUCAGAGGCACCUGCAGACCCAAGAGUGUG
rnacentral:sRNA from 1 species